UACGAAGGGGGGCUAGCGUUGUUCGGAAUCACUGGGCGUAAAGCGCACGUAGGCGGAUUGUUAAGUCGGGGGUGAAAUCCUGAGGCUCAACCUCAGAACUGCCUUCGAUACUGGCGAUCUUGAGUCCGGAAGAGGUUGGUGGAACAGCUAGUGUAGAGGUGAAAUUCGUAGAUAUUAGCUAGAACACCAGUGGCGAAGGCGGCCCAACUGGUCCGGACUGACGCUGAGGUGCGAAAGCGUGGGGAGCAAACAGG
rnacentral:rRNA from 1 species